rnacentral:rRNA from 1 species
CAGUAGCCACGGUAAUACGUAGGGUGCGAGCGUUAAUCGGAAUUACUGGGCGUAAAGCGUGCGCAGGCGGUUCGUUAAGACAGAUGUGAAAUCCCCGGGCUCAACCUGGGAACUGCAUUUGUGACUGGCAGGCUAGAGUAUGGCAGAGGGGGGUGGAAUUCCGCGUGUAGCAGUGAAAUGCGUAAAUAUGCGGAGGAACACCGAUGGCGAAGGCAGCCCCCUGGGCCAAUACUGACACUCAUGCACGAAAGCGUGGGGAGCAAACAGGAUUAGAUACCCGAGUAGUCCCUGUCUCUUAUAC